UACGAAGGGGGCUAGCGUUGUUCGGAAUUACUGGGCGUAAAGCGUGCGCAGGCGGCCAUCCAAGUCAGUGGUGAAAACCCGGAGCUCAACUCCGGAAUUGCCAUUGAAACUGUUUGGCUCGAGUACGAGAGAGGUGAGUGGAAUUCCCAGUGUAGAGGUGAAAUUCGUAGAUAUUGGGAAGAACACCGGUGGCGAAGGCGGCUCACUGGGCUCGUAACUGACGCUCAUGCACGACAGCGUGGGGAUCAAACAGG
rnacentral:rRNA from 1 species